CUUGGAGGAGUAUUUGAUUGGGCUAAUGAAUCUCCACUUGUCGUAGCCGCUUUAUUAAAGGAUUGUCUUCGACUGAUCCCCAGUACUAUUUUUACGAAACAACUGUACUGUAAGUGGAUUAGUGUUCUUGACAAACAGGAUGAAGAGAAAGCCACGGAGAUCAAGAGGCUCUUACAAAAUCUGCCUGUAUGUAAUCUGGAUAUACUCAAGGAAUUGUGCUCUUGUUUAUAUGAGAUCUCUGCGAAUGCCUCUUUCAAUAUGAUGAAUGCAUCAGAGUUAGCAGUUUCAAUCACACCAAGCAUAUUUUACCUUUGGGAAUCAACAUCAACGAACUCAUCCCCGGAAACUGAAUUACUUAAAAAGGUAAUGAUGUGUCCCAUUUCCAUUGUGAUGAGCCAAAGUUUACAAAUGAAAGAUGCCAUACACCCUUCUAGAAUGCCAGGGUCAUUUAUUCUAUAUUAAGAGGAAACAGAAGUGUGAGCUGCUAAAACGUAGGGAAGAAACUUCCAUACCAUUACAGAAGGAAAUAGGGGUUUUCGUGUCUGGGCAGUCCGAGGUGGACUUUUGCCUCUCGUCAUUCAGGACCAUGUAAACCUGAACAGUUUCUUUAUGAAGGCUUCCUUAGCUGAGCAGUGGCAGGAGUGUUGAUAAUAAUCUCCCGAGGUCAGCAGUGACACUGUCUGUUCAACAUGAGCACACAUAAUUCCCCGCUCAGUGUCCUUCCUCUCAGUGUUGCAGCUCAUUCAGUAAGAUGCUGUCUGCGUUUCA